UACGUACUUAUCCUCACUAGUGACGGAAGCAACCAAACGAGAAAUAAGAAAUAUUUUUUAUACUACUAUUUUUGUGGUUGAGUCAAACGACAUCGUAUUUUAUACUUUUCUAACGUUUUGUUUGUUUUGUUUAUUUUGUCUUUGUGGUUUAGUGAAACUCAGAGAUAAUGUUUUAAAAACGACUAUUAUUAUUUCUAAAGCAACCUAAUCAACUAUUAUUUGUAACCCUCUUAUUUGGUCUCAUUUUUCUGUCAAACGAUUCAAACUAGAUUUCUUUGUAUUUUCUUCCUAUAAUUUCAAAAUUUUUACUGGUUACCUUGCUCUCACUUAGUUGUAUUAUACACUUUUUUUUUAUUCUUUCUAUUAAAUUUAACGUGUCUUGCAAUUUUGUGAAGAUUAUUUCAAUUGCCCAUGUUAUGAGUUCGAAUUUUUUUCUCAAAACAUAUAUGAAAUUAAGGCCUUCUCUCACAAAGAAUUAUGGCUCUGCCACUGAACCCUUUCACGGUAAGAAAAAUGUUUUGUGGACUUUAUUAAAUUAGAAAACACUUUUUAAUGAUCGAAUUUGCUUAUGAUUAUUCUGAUAGUUUUUUUUUUUGAAAAAGUCUAAAUUUUCAGUUGUGUUGUAAAAUCGACUGUGGGUGCAGUGGAAUAAAUGAAACAAGACACAAAAUUUACGAGGUUCCUCUACAGUCAGUGUGACUGGAGCACGUCCUCGGGGCAGCAGUGGUGCUUUCAUUAUAAUUUGAAAUAAUAGGAGUACAAAGAUAACUCUCUCUAUUAUCUCCUCUCAUCUUCCUCUAUUCUCUCUCUUCCUCUUCCUUCCUUCCUCUCUUUCUUUCCCGUGAACUCCCCUCACUUCAAUCCUCUUCUUCCUUUAUAUAAACAAAAGAAAGCACUAUUCACUUUACAAAUUUUCCACAAAUGAAUAGUGAAAAUACUGUGCAUAAAUAGUAACAAACUAUUCAUGUGGACCAUCCACACACUAUUUACAACACUCCCCCUUGGAUGGCCACAAGUCUUCGAUUGACUCGUUAAAACCUUGAUCUGUCUUGGAUGCUCCCCCUGAUGAGUAUCUCCCCCUGAUUUCAAAUCAUUUAGGUUGAUCGUUGAUCGUUCUGAUUUAGUCUCUUAGUAAGAAGAGUUGCUGAAAGAGUUGCUUUACUUAUUGUUAACUUUCCACAGGCUUUUUCUUGAAUUGGGUUGUAGGACUUUCUGCUAGACUAGCAUCCAAAUGUCUGAAUUUACUCCUUUUAUCUGGAGCGAAAUUUGAUUCAAGAGUAGUGAACACUUGAUAUUGAAUCGGACUUGUGAUUUCUUCAAGGACCUUCGAGGCUUGAUCUUGAAUGAAAUUGGACCAUGAGGAGCUUCAUGUGGCAAGUGAUCUUCAGUUUUGUCAGGGAUGAAUCAGCACGCGUUUGUUGCGCUUGUCUCCACAUGCUUCAAUGUAUCAUUUUCACUUUCCUUACUUGCUCCCCUUGCUUAAGUAGUAUUUUCCCUGCUUUUCCCCCAUGCAUGUGGCAUCUUCUCCGGCAGUAUUUGCCCUCUGAUGCCGGAGUGGAGUGCAACCCUUGCAUUUGGAUGGUUCAUCACUUCUUGGUGACUGGAGACCUAGCUCCAACCGUUGAAGAUGACUACUCGAGAGCAACACUAGGUAAGCAAUCAGGAAAGGUUCCAGGCAGUCGGUUCCUUACCGGGAGUUUGAGUGGAGGUUCCGACAUAUUGCUUUCUUUAUCCUUGUUUUCGCAGGCAAGAACAAGGACAAAGGAAAUGACAGGGAGAUUGCAUGAUAUGAGAUAAUCUUGCUCUGGUCCCUGAAGAUAUGUGAUAAUCUUGCUCUGGUGUGACAUGUUUGAAGAGGUAUUCUCGGAGAGGAAGAAAACUGAGUAUUUCGAGAUGCUAUGUUGAAGAUGCAUUCUCGGAGAUGAGGAAGAGUUAGGUAUUCUUGCAGUGUUGCGGGUCUGCCUUGUUAUGGAGAACAGAGGUCGACAUAUAUAGAGAUUUCUCAAUAGCAAGUGGUGGUGCUGUGCUUUUACUCUUGUCAGCAACUGUGGUGUAAAUAGAACAGUAAGAUUUACGCGUUUUCAACUUUGUCAGAGAUCUUUGACAAAAUUGCACGCGACAUCUGAAAAAGCUGGGAUUACGUCUGAAAAAUGCCAACGAACUUUAUGCAGGAAAAUCUGGCUUUUGAAAUUCGGAGAGCGGUGCCUCUUCGAUCUUUGAACGAGUGGCUCUGCUGCCUCUUUCUUUAUAGAGACAUCAAUUGUGUUCAAGAGUAUGCUCAGAAAGUUGCUGCCUGUAGAAAUUUCCUCUAUCUUGCACUUCUGAAAUUUUAUUUGACCUCUGUUUUUCCUUCAUCAUUUCUGAAAAAUGAUUUGCCCAUCUAACAUUUUCUUAGAUUUGAGUCUUAGGAGUGAUACAGACGAGCAGCGUCAGGAUAAUAUAUGGCGCCCGUCCUUCUUAUCUUCUAAUGGUCCUCUUACGGUUGGGGACUCUGUGAUGAAGAAUAACAUAACCGCUACUGUGGUAGCUAGGAAUCUUCUCACUCCAAGGGAUAACAAGAUCCUUUUAGAACGGUCUGAAGAGUCGGCCGUUCAAGACUCCUUGGCUCUCAGUGUUCAAUGUGCUGGCUCUGUGUCCAAUAUGGGCCAACGCCUACUUGCUCAAACUCGCCAAGUUGAAUCAUUGAUGGCAGAGGUGGCAAGUCUUAAACAAGAGAUCAGAGGGCUCAAGCACGAGAAUAGGGUGUUACACGUGCUUGCAAAUAGUUACUCUACGAGCAUGAAAAGAAAGCUCGUCCAACUGCAGGAAUCCGAAAGUCGGAUUCAAAGUGAUCACCAGAGGUUCGUUGCUAGAUUCCGAAAGCAACUGAUGCCUUUCCCUUCUGGUGUUUUGCUAAGUACUGGGGUGCCACAUGAUCAAUCUCUAGUGCCUCCCCCUUCUGGGGUACUUCCGAGUACUGAGGCUUCACAUGAGCAACCUUUGUGAAGGCUCCAUCCUGUUUGUUUGUUUUAACUCAUGUGUAUGUAUAUAUCUGUAAUUUCUUGGAGAUAUUAAUAAAUAAGCUUUAUUUCAUUCAAUGUAUUGUGCCAAAUACAAUAAAACAUAUACUUCACUAAGAUGUGGUACUUCUGGACCAAAUAUUAAUUUAUCUUUGCCCUCAUGAAGAUAAAUGAUUAUUCUUAGUGUCUUCAUCAUAUGAGUAUUCAACUCAUAAUCUUCAAUCCAUAUGGUUCUUUUAAUAUCAUAAAUAUCAUGGAUAAGAUUCGUGUUGGUAGAUUGUUCGAUCUGUAGCUCGAGACAAUAAUUCCUUCAACACUUUAUAAUUUGUUCUAGACUUUUCAGGAGUCCCAAUUUAAUAUCAUCAACUCUUCAAGAGUUCUAAUUUAAUGUCAUUGACUCUUGCAAGAGAUUUUAGUAUGUUGCAACAAUAUUAUAAUGAUAGUACUCACUAAGGCAAUUUAUAUCAUUCAUUGGUAUUGAGUACAUAUUUUAUGUUUUACCCUUCAGGGGCUUACUUCAAGCAAUUUGAAUCCUUCAAGGGUUUUCUACACUUCAUGACACAUUUUCCUUUGGAAUUUAUACAGAGCAAUUUGCUCCCAUGUAUACUUGAGGGAUUUACUUAUGGAGAUAUAAUGUGGGCGACUCACAACCCUUCGUAUAUAAUUCUCCAUUCAUAUGAACUCGUUUACAACCUUGUGUCAUAUCAUGUGAGUGUAUUUCACUGUAUUACAAAUGCCCAAUGUAACCUCCUGGGUUCAACAUCUUUUGGCUAUUUGUAUUGUAUUCAAAUAUAUAUAUAUGUUCAUUUGCCCACGUUCUUACAAAAUUGUAAUGGAAUUGCCUUUCUCCAUUUUGGCCAAUAAUUUUUCUUUUGUCGACGAACAAAAGAACGUGACUCAAUAUUAACACAGCUCAUUGAUGAAUUUAGUAGCUACUUGUAAAAACCAAAAUUACCAUUGGUUAUCAUCAAUCCGUGAUCCCAUAUUCUCAUGUGCAUGCGCACGCAUAAAAGCUUUUCAUUUCUUUGGAUAUCCAUUGCCUCUUCAAGGGCAUGACGCUAUCUCUUCCAGGAUAGUCAUAAUUUAGAGAAUGUGGAUCAUAACCUCCUCUUGAGCGUUAUAGAGCUUGGAUUUUAAUCUCCACUUCCGGGAGUUGAGUCAUUGGAACCUAUAUGUCUAUUAUGCUCCAUGUAUGAGACAUCAACAUUCCCAUGUCUGCGGAUUGUCCUAUCUGGGACGUGUAUCCAUGCGGUGACUGUCAUGCUUCUGGCAUGCAACAGUUAUGCUUCGGGAAUGCAAUAGUUCAGUAGUGCCAUAUUAUUCUUCUUUCGAAUAACUAAACCUUUUGAGUCUAAAAAUCUGCCACGCUUCAGGCGUGCAACAGAUAAAUCAUUUACUGUCUCAUUAUUUUAUCCAACAGAGACAUCAAUUCUUGUAGGCACAUUUGCAGUAAGUAUAUAUGAUUUCAUCACUUUCGUUGCAUCAUUCAAUUAUUCAUAUUUCAUUUUCUCAUUGAUUGCUUCGUGAAUCAAAAUAAGACAAAUUCUCUUCGUUCUUCUGGAACGGUCUUUUUUCAUCAUUAUUUUGGAAUGAUAUUUUCUCAUCGUUCUUCUGGAACGAUAUUAUUUUCUCCCCCUAAUGGUAGGAAAAUUGUCUUAUCAAAAUGACAGUCCGCAAACCAUGCGGUAAACAUAUCCCCAAUCAAGAAUUCCAAAUAUUGAAUGAUAGAUGGUGUUUAGCAUCAAUGCCUAAUCUGCAAUGAUGCCUCAUUUCAGUACGUUGUGGCAGUCUUACAGGCACAUAGACAACACAACAAAAAACUCGUAAAUGUAUAAUGUUUGGUUGGUUCCCAAACUCGAGUUGUAGAAGUAUUGAUGGUUGAUAACAUAUCUCAACCGAAUUAAUAAUGCAUCAUGUAAAGUUUACAUGUCCCCAUGUAGAAAACUGGCAAUUUCGUUUUCAUGAGCAGAGCGUUGGUAAUCAAUUUCACCCACUUAAUAAAUGCUUCUGCUAAACCAUUUUGAGUAUGGACAUGAGGAACUUCUGGUCCUUAUUAAAUAGUCUAUGGAUUGAGACUUUUAUGACCUUUAUUAUAAUUAAGUUAAGGCACUGUGGCACUUCAAACUUAAGGUACUUAUCAAGAAACUUCAUGUCCGAUCUUGAGGAUCUAGGGACUUCAUGUUUGAUCUUUUUGCAUGAUGGAACUUCGGGUCCAAUCAUUUUAUGUGAUGAGGAUCAAGAAACUGCAGGUUCUGAUCUAAUCAAGGAAUCUGGGUCCUUGUUAUACUCAUCGUAACAAAAGAUAAGUACAAUAAAUAAAUUAAAGCAAUAGGCUGGAAUUUCAGCCAUAGUAAAUAAAUUGAACAAUAAAUAAAUUAAGGCUUGUGACAAGGGCUUUAAUUCAGCACCAUUCACAUAAAUCAAAACUUAAAGCAGUAGGCGGUAAAACCGUCCAUGAUAAAUAAAUUGUUUUAAAGUAAAUAGAACUUGUGACAUGGGCUUUAAACCAACACCAUGCACAUAAAUAUCAAAGCUUUAAAGCAAAGGGUAAUAAUUCUACCCACUGUAAAUAAAUUGCUUUAAAUAAAUAGAACUUGUGAAAGUGUUUUAAGCCAACACCAUUCACAUAAAUAAAUAUAUAAAUAUUUUCUUCUUUCUUUUCAGACGGUGUAACACCAUCCAAAAACCUUUACCUUUAUUUUAUUUUAUUAUUUUCUUAUUCAAUCACAUGCUACAACAUUCCAACAACUUUUGUUUUUAUUUCUUUUAUUUUACAUGGUGCAACGCACCUUUCUAAAUCAUUGGCCCCAUUUCCCCUUUUCUUUGUCUAUCUCUACCAGUCUCGAAAUUCAGUACCAGCUGGGUUGUUGUGGGGGUUACACAAAACCAAUUCAAUCCAAAAAGGCUACCAGAGACUGGCGUUGUUCUUGCAUGGCCCAAAAAACAUGGCAUCGCAAAGCAAGAACCUCUCCAUAUAGACAUAGAUGACAGUGAGGUUGACGAAGGCACAAGAGAGGGAGGCCUGUGUGGAGUCAGUCAUGCCAUCACCAUCUCAGACAACUGAGGAUUCAUGGAGGUCCUCGAGAUCCAUUGAGAACGACACGAUCUGGGUUUCCAAGUCUAAUGAGAUUCUUCUGGAUCUCUGGAAACCAGUUGUCAGGUAUGAGUUUUCUUAUCUCGUGACGACUUCAGGUCGUUGGAAAUUUCAAUUCGCACCGAAAAUCGGUGAGGCGCUUCUGGCGCGGUGGGAGAAACGAAUGGACAUACCUUUGCUUGUUUUGCUGCACCUUUGUUUGUCUGUAAGAUCUCUCCAUCUUUCUUGUCCACGAGAGAAAAAAUAGAUUGCAGGUCUAGCAGGGAUAAGGAUUAGCACAUCAAUAGUUAGAGUGAUAAAAGAAAAGUGAUAAAAGAAAGGUUGAUGGAUUUUUGUGACAAGAUGAUCUUCCCUGUUUGACAUGUCUGGCUUGCCGUCUCUACUCUGUGAGAUUUUAGCUGACCGAGGUGAGAGGUAGAUAAUGCUUCACCGGAUUUAUGGUGUUGUGCUUUCCACUGACAUGAGAGCUUUUCGUGCUGAUAACGUGUUGUAAAAUCAACUGUGGGUGCAGUGGAAUAAAUGAAACAAGACACAAAAUUUACGAGGUUCCUCUACAGUCAGUGUGACUGGAGUACGUCCUCGGGGCAGCAGUGGUGCUUUCAUUAUAAUUUGAAAUAAUAGGAGUACAAAGAUAACUCUCUCUAUUAUCUCCUCUCAUCUUCCUCUAUUCUCUCUCUUCCUCUUCCUUCCUUCCUCUCUUUCUUUCCCGUGAACUCCCCUCACUUCAUUCCUCUUCUUCCUUUAUAUAAACAAAAGAAAGCACUAUUCACUUUACAAAUUUUCCACAAAUGAAUAGUGAAAAUACUGUGCAUAAAUAGUAACAAACUAUUCAUGUGGACCAUCCACACACUAUUUACAACAAGUUGAACAAAGUAUUACAAUUAUAAUCAGAUAAGUCGUUCCUCAUUGAUUUGAAAUUUUCGGGUAUGAAGGCGGAGGUGGGGAAAAAUACUUGUCGGAUUGUAAUGACAUGACAUCCCCGAUUCGACCCACUAUCAUCCCUACAUGCCCUUUUAUUUUAUUUUAUUUUAAAUAAAAAUUAGUUGUGAAACUUACUCUGCAUUGAACUUUAACAAUCUGAAUCGCUUAUUUUGAAGGUUUUGAUUUAUUGAUUAUUCUUGAAAAAAUUCAAUUCAAUAUGAAAUCAUUUGACUGUUUAAUUAUCACGAUAAAAUUUCAUGUUAUAGAAACAUCAUUAACAUUAAAUGAGAAGUAGUAAUGUUUCAAAGAAGACAUUGUUUUGUAUUAUCACCAUAUAUAUUGGCUAAAUUGUAUCUCCGAUGGAUUCCAGAUGCAGCAAUUAAUCAACAAAAAAAACUAUAUGCAAUUUUGACUAUUUUGAUCACCUAUAUAUUAUAUUUGAUAGUAAAAUGAACAGAGCUUACGCGCAAGCGCAAAACAUACGUCCAAAAACCAGAUCGUGGUUGCCACUUUCCACCGGACCAACUUCUUAGUCUUCCUUCUCUUAGUUGUAGAGAAGUCUUCAUUUAAUUUACGUAAAAUAAUACAAUUGUUGAAAGAAACAACAAAACAAAAUAAAAGCACCUCAUUAGCCCACCAUAUAUAGACUCGAUCAAAGGUCUUUUACGUGUGUGAAUUUUUAGGGUUCUUUCCUGUAUUAUUAUUAUUAUUUUUUUCCUGAUAUGAUUUCAAUUUAUCACCAAAUCAUCAACCACGUAAAGUUGAUAUAUAUAAAUGAGAAGGCGACAAAAGGGAAAUAGAUAGAGCAAUUACCUUUGCUUUUAAUACCUGUAGUUUCCUCCAACGAAGACAAACGAAAUCGUUGAUUCCAUAGAAGAACAUAUAAACCUAAUUAAUUAGGUGAGUCGACCAAGUUAAAAUAAAUGUUGAAUGUCCUUGCAUCAUCAAAGGUGGUGGCUGUGAGGGGUUUGGUGUUAGGACUUGGAUUCUCUGCUCUCCCAAUUCGGUGCUCUCCCCGUGCCCUUCUGUUUGUGUGAUCACGGUUAAGCUACGUCAAUAUUUUAUAUUACUAUUUUUUUUUUGUCUUAUUAUUUUUAUAAAAAACAAUAUAAAAUGUUAGCAUGGAUUAACCGUGACCACACAAAACAGGAGGGCACGAAAAAGGCACCGAAAUGGGAGGGCAGAGAAUCCAAGUCCUUGGUGUUACGGGUUACUUCAAGGUUUCUGUGAUGUGAAAUAUAUGGAUGUCGUCCGUUUCAGUCAUGCGGCUUUGUUCUGCUUUAAUGUUUUCAUUUUUUAAAUUAUUAUUUUUACAUUAGUGACUUUGAUGUAUAAUUAAAGUAUACAAUAAAUAUCGUUUUAUAUAAGGGAACUUUAACGAAAAGCUCCCAAUACUGUUCACUUUAACGAAAAACCACAUUUUUACACUAAAAAGUCAAUUCUGGUACUAUUCACUUUACCCUUUAUUUUGUCCUUAUCAUUUAAACUCAAAAUUUUCAAGCCCUUUUCAUUAGUUUUCCUUUUAUAUAACUCACUUUUGCAAUUGUACGGAUAUUGUGGUAGAUUCAAGAUUUGAAUUUUGGGGAGUCUCAAUGUUAGAUAGAAACGAAUCGUAAAGCGUGCAAAAAAUAUUUUGGAUUAUUCAAUGAAACAUUUCGUCGAACGCUUGGUAAAUUUGUUGUCUUUAACCAAAUCAUGUUACAUAUAUAUCAACAAAUAUCGACAUAUGCUGAAGUAAUUUAAUGAGUGAUAUCAAGAUAACUUUUUGAGUGUUGUCGUAUAAUCUGUUAAGAUAUGUCUAACAAGUAUUAUAUCAAACAUUUAGUAUGUACAAAAAGAAUCUGUAUUAAACAUUUGGAGGGUCCUAAAAAACCCUUCAUAUUUAUAUUCUAAAAUUUUGAAUAAUCUUGAGAUCACCUUAGUUCCGUUACUGAACAUGAUAUGGCAAAUUGGUAAAUUGAAUCGGCAUGUGAUUGUUAAGCAUUUCUCGAUAAUAUGACACUCAAAACGGAUGAUAAAAAUUCUUGGGUAGUAUGUUUAUUCAUCCACGAUAUCGACACGAAUGAUGUUUUCUUGAAUGCCAAGGCAAAGUCGAUUUGAGUCAGAAAUUAUUUUUGUCAACAGCUGCACCCCAUGCGUAUUGACCACGACAGCUUCAACUUCAAGAAUCAAAACGUUUCUUUUGAAUAUGACAUGAGGAUUAAAAUAGGGUUGACGAUAUCUGUGAUGUGACCAUUUAUGUCGGCCACCACAUAAUACAACUGUGAAAGGUGGCUUGCAGAAGUUUUGUAUUUCUGGGAUUUUAAUAGGUCAAAGAUGGAAUGUACGUGUAGUAGUUUAGCCUAGGGUUUCACCAAAUGAGAAAAUGAGCUGAAAAUACCAAUUGAGUCCCUAUCCAUUGUUUCAUGAUGAACCGUCUAUUAUUUCGACAUAUUUGGAUGCUUAAACGAUCUUCACUUCAAAUAAUUGUUUGUACGAGUAAUCUUCAAAUGAAGAUUAAUAAAUUAGACGUUUUCAAUCGUUGAUUUUAUUCAGUCAAAAUAAGUUAUUCGUAAAUACAUAAUAUAUAUACAUCCUCACAUUGAGAAAUGCAAGCAUUAUUCUUAAUUUAUUAAGUACUGAGAAUUCCUCCUAAAUUAAAUUAAAAGAAAAAAAAAAUUACAAACACACACGAACUUUUCCACUUUUAUAAAAAAACGAAAUUUGGUAUUUCCAAUGUCAACGUUAUUCCGAGCCGAUCAGUUGUUUACCAAUCGAGAAGAAGUCUUACUAUGUUUACAUUGAGAAUUCAAAUCCAAAUCCAAACGUGUUCUUCUAGUUUGUCAGCCUGUAAAGUACUUAGAUUGGCUAUGGUCAAAAGGAUCUUAUUCAACAUGGUUUGUUUGCUUCAAGAACCGAGUUUCUGACUUCUGUUCAUAUAUCUUUAUGCUAGCAUUCUCUGAUGAAUCGCCAACUUAAUCAAACUGUUAGCUGGAUAUACAAUACCAGUCAUUUUGUUCAACUUUUCAAAGUCCUUAGUUAGCAAAAUGAUAAAAAUUUAUUACCUAAUGUGUUACCUAAUUGUGGAAAUAAUGGGUUCGCAGCUUCUUUCCAAAUGCCUAUAUAUAAACAACAUAUAUCGAUCUCUAAGACAUCACAAGAGUAAUACAAUAUCUUCAUAACAAUAUACGAUUCUCAUUUCCCCUUCAGCUAGUUCUUUAAUUUCUUCCCCAUGGCACGCUUAGCAUUUGUGCUAGUAUGUGCUGUAGCUCUAUUGGCUUCUUCAGUAGCCUCUGGUGCAAUUGUUGAGCAUUCUUUUAAUGUAAGUCUGUUCCCAUAAUGGCUAAAAGAGCAUUCUGACACUUCUGAUUCAAUUUGACAGAAAAAUUCAAAAUAUUUUUGGGUCAUAGAAGCGGCUUUUAGAAACAAUAUUCAAACGAGCCCUUUGGGAUCCUUAUUUUGUCAUGCAUAUUUCCUCACUAAUUAUUUGAAUGUUUCCUUUGAAUAAUAGUAGUCAUAAUUUUCUUUUUAUUUCUAUUGUUUCAGGUAAACAACAUGACAGUUAGCCGACUGUGCCGAAAUCAAUCGAUUACUGUAGUAAAUGGGAGCUAUCCAGGACCGACAAUAUAUGCACGAGAUGGAGACACACUUAUUGUCCACGUUUUAAACCAAUCACCCUACAACAUUACUAUUCACUGGUAAAUAUUAGUUUACAUAUCCAAAAUCAUUUACCCCUUAACAUAUACUAGAACAAAACAAAAAUUCUAUUUGAACACACUUACUAACGCACCCUUCAAUAAAGAUGACCCAACCAAAUUAUUUGGGACCCACACGUGUAACAGUGUGAGUUUUAUGUAUCUAAAUCACAUUACUUGGAACAAAAUGCAUACCCAUAUUUUCUUAGUCAAUUUUUUUUCUUGAGUAACAAUCCCCCAGGCGAACGUUGGGUUAUGUUUUGUUCAUGUUGUAUAGUUUCUUUCUUAACGCAGGCAUGGAAUCUUUCAGCUUCUGAGUGCAUGGGCGGAUGGACCUGCAUAUGUAACUCAAUGUCCUAUACGCCCUGGACAAAGCUUUACAUACAAAUUUAAUAUCACCGGACAAGAAGGCACCCUUUGGUGGCAUGCCCACGUUUCGUGGCUCCGCGCAACCGUCCACGGAGCACUCAUAAUCCACCCGAAAGUCGGUCGAUCCUUCCCCUUCCUCAAGCCCGCCAAAGAAGUUCCCAUCUUAUUAGGUAAUUAACAAUCAAACUAAACAAUUCAAUUUAGUUUAUAUUAAUCAUGAAACGCACUUAAACAUUGAUUUUUAUGACUAAUUAUAAAUUGUUUGAUGGAAUUGCAGGAGAGUGGUACAAUGGUAAUGUUGUUGACAUUGAGGAAGAAGGCCUAGCUACCGGAAUUGCUCCUAACGGUUCAAAUGCUUACACCAUAAAUGGACUUCCCGGCGAUCUAUACGACUGCUCUCAAAAUCGUAUGUAACCAUGCAUGCAUGCACGUAAAUUUUUUUAUUUUUAUAUACUACUUUUGCAUGAUGAAUAUUAAUAAUUUAACAUCAAUUUAUCAGAGACAUAUCAACUCAAUGUGGUGAGAGGAAAGACCUACCUCCUACGCCUAAUCAAUGUUGCACUCAAUAACCAACUCUUCUUCAAGAUAGCCAAUCACAACAUGACAGUUGUCGCUAUCGACGCCACCUAUACCACUCCUUAUGUCACCGACGUGGUGGUUACUGGACCCGGCCAGACCACUGACGUUCUCGUCAAAUUCAAUCAACCUAUUGGAUCCUAUUUCAUGGCCGCCACUCCUUAUGCUAGCGCAAACAUUAACUUUGAUAACACAACCACCAGAGGCAUCAUCGUCUACAAGGGCUCUAGAUCAUCAACCCCCAUUAUGCCCUCAAUGCCCAACCCUCGCAACACACCAUUGGCCCACAAGUUCUUAACCAAUCUCACCGGCCUUGCCGGCGGGCCCCAGUGGGUCCCGGUCCCACUCAAGGUGGACGAGCGCAUGUUUGUGACAAUUAGCGUCAACUUGGAGCUGUGUCCGGAAAAUGCCACAUGUCAGGGCCCGCUCUUUAAUCGAUUGUCCGCUAGCAUGAACAACGAGUCAUUCGUGCUUCCGAGCAAUACAUCCAUGAUGGAAGCACAGUUUAACAACAUGAGUGGGGUUUACACCAGAGAUUUUCCUGACGAGCCUCCGAUCAAGUUUGACUACACGGACACGAACGUUAGCUUUGACCUGUCGUUGAUAUAUGCCCCAAAAUCAACCAAGGUCAAGACGUUGAAAUUCAAUUCGACGGUGGAGGUCGUGCUUCAAAACACAGCGUUCUUGGCGAUUGAGAAUCAUCCGAUGCAUCUCCAUGGCUUCAAUUUCCACGUGCUGGCACAAGGGUUUGGUAAUUACGACCCAAUUAAUGACCCCAAAAAAUUUAACUUCAUUAAUCCACAAAUACGUAACACAAUUGGUGUGCCGGUCGGAGGAUGGGCUGUGAUCAGGUUUCAAGCAAAUAAUCCAGGUUAGUUUUACUAAGCACCACAGUAGUUGAAUGUCUUGUAUUUUAAUUAUAUUAUUAAUAAUUAAUUCUGAUUAUUUGUUGUAAACUAUUAUCUCAGGUAUUUGGUACAUGCACUGUCAUUUGGACGUUCAUGUGCCCUGGGGGCUAGGCAUGGCUUUUGAGGUUGAAAAUGGACCGACGCCAGAAUCUACUUUGCCUCCGCCACCACUUGAUCUUCCCAAAUGUUAGAAGUUGUUCGAAAGGCAUCUCAAAAUAUUGUUUCAUUUUUUUGUACUUUAAAAAUAUCGUGGUCACUUUCAUUCUUUUGGUUACAAAUGAAUAACUUUGUAAUAAAAUUAGUCACGGAUGUAUUGUAAAACUUGGUCAUCAUUGUUUGACUAAAAUCACAAUAAAUUAUUUAUUCAUAAUAUUUCAAGUAAUGUCCUAAUUUACUCGCGGAAUGACUUGACAACCUUUUGUUUACUUAAUCCCGUUAGCUCUGGCCUCUUCUUUUUAUUUUUUAUUUUUUUCAGAACAAGUAAAAUUAUCUAGUCGUAUUCUUAUUCAUUAGUACAUGAAAAGUCUAAUAUUCGAUUUACAUUGAUGAUAAUAAAAUUUAAUAUUUAUGUUAAUUAUGAUACCUAAUUAUGACUGAUUCAUUGAUUGUUUCGUAUAGACACGACCUCCUCUUAAGAAUUAUCUCAUCUUAGAAUUACACUGGAAUAUCCUUGUUUGAAAAGGGGAAAAAAAAAGUAACUACAUCACUUGAAUCAUAUUGAGCCCCCAAAUCAGCAGAUUUUAGGUUUUAUACUAUCAGGGAUUUGGUCUGCCCAUCACAUAGCCACACCAUAAUAGUUCCAAUUACAAAAAAAUUUAUUAAAGAUAAUCUUUAGUUUAAAUCUUAUAAACUAACAGCUGUUAAUAAUAAUGCUUAAGAAAAAUGCAUUCCUUGUAAGCUUUUUUACUGAAUCUUCACUUUAUUUUACGUAUAACAUGCUGACAACUAUGAACGUGACUGCUUACAAUUUAAAAUUGUCCUAACUGACUAUUACAAUUUGAUUUCACACGUAUUAAUAAUUUCUCCAGCAUGUGAUUAAGUUGUGUUCUUGUCGUCCAAGUUGACUUCUAAAUGAGUUGGCAUCUUGUUAUGAUAGCCUUGAUCACAUUGCAUGGUCGAUUUCUAUACGUGGGACGUGUAUUCACCUAUCUAAUAGCGGUGAUGAGUAAAAGUGAAUCAAAUUACGUUACUGGUUUAAAUGUGUGCGUUUUCUGGCAUCAUCUACUCUUAAACGAUAAGGCUCUGGGACAUUAUACAUAUACUAAAACCCAACGCAAAAAACACUGUUCAUUAACAGUGUUCUUCCAUUUUCACCCCUGCUUCUUUUUUGUUAUUUCAACUUUGCCCUUCCUUCUUGUAUGUCGACCCAGCUUUUCUAUAGAUGCUUGCUUCCCCACCGUUUCAGUCUCUAAACCCACCUUCUCGACUUCUGCUCUCCCCGUCUCCCUCCUCGCCUCUCUUCUCUGCACCAAGCACCUCGAUUUAGGGCUUCACCAUUUCUCUUCGAAUCAAGGUCUCUAUUUCUCUGAUUGUUAUCCAAUUGCUUGAUUAAAUCGUUAAUUAAUCUUUUUUUUUCCGUGAAAUAUUUGGAAAAUCCGCCCAGAAAAGGAUCGAAUCGCAUUAAUUAGCUAAUUUUCCAUCUCAUCUGAUUGUAAAUUGGUUUAAUUGAACUUUAAUUUCAUUGUCAAAGUUCCUAGCUUUCGGUUUCGUGGGAAAAUUUCCUAUUUAGUUGAAAAAUAGGCAUUCAUUGGUGAACUGGGUUCCAUUGUUUGGAAGCCGAGUUUGGAGAAAUAGAAAGUCUUGGAUUUUGGGAAGAGAGAGAAAGAGGAAGAGGUGGUGGUGUCCAUUGUUUGGUAGCCGAGUUUGGAGAAACAGAAAGUCUUGGGUUUUGGGAAGAGAGAGAGAGGAAGAGGUGGUGGUGUGGGCUUGGGAGCGAGGAGAAAAGGGGUAUAUAUGGUGAGAGAUUAGGAUUAAAUUUUACUUGGAAAAUUUGAAUUAUGUGGACCGAACCCACCUUCUUUUUUUGUAAUGUUUGUUGCGGCAACCAUAUCUCUGUUCUUGACCCAAUGCAAGAAGUCAGUAACUUGACCAUGACACCUCCUUUUUUUGCAUUGUUUGCUGCGGCAACCAUAUAUCUGUUCUUGACCCAAUGCAAGAAGUCAGUAACUUGACCAUGACUUGCAGGAUGUUUUCAUGUGUUAUUUUGUUUCCGCUUACGAUCUUCAGUAGAUACCCCAUGGGUGAAAUUUUUGGCUUCCCAAACUGCCAGAAGAGUCAAAUCCCUCUUGGGUUAAUGCUUUAUUCUUUUUGCGAUUUUUCAAUGCUUUUUUAUAUGGCCCACUAAGUCUGUGACGCUGAAGUUUUAAGCCCCAAAUGAUUAUUUUCUUGCAUGAAAUUUCUGUCUGCAAGUUUUAUGAAGGUGUUGUUUCUUCUUACGACCUGCCAAAAAUAAACACUUGGUGAGUUGGAUUUAUGGUCUUUGGUCUUCAUGCUAUAUUGUAUGUUUUCUUUUGCGUAUCACAAAUAUGAAAUGUUAGAUCGAAGAUCUUCCACUACUAGAGUCCUUGAGUUAUAGACAUGAUCUGAGUAGAUGUAUUCGAUCCUUGGUUGUUCACGGCAUAACUUGCUGAGUGCUUUUGUAGUUUAGUUAUACUAAUAAGAAGUGUCAUUGCAAGUGUGAGAUUGUUUUCUCUUUGUGAUAUACUGAUUUCCUAAAUUGUUGUUCAAAUAUGUGUAAUGGUUGAUUAUGGCUCGCAUAUGUUGUUCUUCGAUUAGUAGUCAGGGUUGUUAAUUUCUCUGCUUUUUUGGUUUGAUUCCGAUAAUAUUUUUGGGUUUUUGGUUGGUUUGAUCUGGGUUUUCGAAGUAAGUUCUGCAUGUUUGUUGCCGCACAAGGUUUUGAUUAUCCUUUUUUUUUUAUGGCUUUUGUUAGUAUCUCAUGUGCUUUGGUUUUUUAUUUCAGAAACUUUGUGCCCAUUUUGGAUUCACUUUGAACUUGGUUGAGACCGAUCUAAUCCGGCAUUCCCAAGUGAGUUUUGCAUGUUUCUCAAUGUAUAUGGUUUCAAUUUUUUGUUCCGGUAAUAGAAACUAUGUCCUUUGACUCUGCUUACAUGCUUUUUAACAUGGAGAGAAAUUGAAUUUGUAUUUCAGAAUUAGUGUUCUUCUUGAUGUCCAACAGUCUGGAAAUAGUUUUUCGUAUUGUAGUUUAGAAUUAGUGAUCUUGAUUCAAAACUUGAAACUCAAAGGAUAACAAACCUCUGUUUUCUGUAAAGAUAUAUUUCCAAAAUAUUUUUAACACCUGCAGCAACGCGCGGGGGCACUUUUUCUAGUGUAUACUAUUUGAAACAGAAAUUUGGUGGUCUAGUAUUAGGGAUUACGCUUCAUUAAUGUUACAAAUCUCCUCCAAAAUUCCUUGCUACUAACAUUCCAGAGGAACACCAUGCAACAUGCAUGGCUAGAAGGGACCAGGGGAAAAUGCAAGAUGAAGCUUUGUUCAUAAAUAUUAUUGCGAAACAGGACGAGGGGCAUUUGCAGAAGCAUCGCCAUAACUCGAAAUUUCUUCCAUGGCACGGUGAGGAUUGGAACGUUGUUUUUUGCAUCGAUAAGGCAAGAAUACUCCUGCAUUUUAAUUAAAACAGUUGACAAAGAAUGUAAGUACAUUUUUUACCCCAAAAAAAUGUUAGUACAUCAAGUUAGAACACUCUAAUACCACGUUAGAUAAUCACUAAAGCUCUAAGAUUAAGAAAAAUCGUCAAUCUUCUGCGCGUAGAUUGUGCGAGAUCUUGAUUACGUACCUUCUCCAACAGCCAUGUUGAAGUAAAGCUCAAUAAUGUUAGGGCACCUGUGAUAACAAAGCAUCUUGAGAACUCGAGGGUCGAAGAGGGAAUCAGAGGAAAUUCCAAUUGCCUUCCUAUCAAUACUGCAUGCCUUGAUGCACUCAUCCGUCUCUAUGUACUCCGCCAUCUUCUCUACCACCCCUCCCGACGUCUUGCAUUCGUGUCCAACCUUUCUGCCCUUCUUCGCGAUCGUUUCCAACAAGCACUGUUUACCGAAGAUGACACCGAAAAUGCGCAAAUCUCAUUUGGCAUAUACUCACAAAUAAUCUCACCUGGAAAUUAUAACCAAGAUUCUAAACACAACGCACAAUGUUCUUAAGUUUAAUUAAUUUCGAAGGGAACUGUUAUUAAACACUUUAAAAAUCUCAUUCUACACUCCUCGUAAGUGUUAGGAAUGUCGGUACUACAAGAUAGAGAAUGCACCAGGUAAAGUAGAAAAUGGACACCAAGAAUUUUAUGUGGUUCGGCAAUCUAUGCCUACGUCCACAAAACAAAGAUCAAUCUUCACUAUAUGAAAAAGAUGAGUACAAUAAGCUUAGUCUUACCAAGCCAAAGACAAGACUUGAUGGAUACAAGAAAAUAUGACACACACUUUCUAUCACUCUAAACUUCACUCACAAUGUGUAGUGAAACACUCUCACUCUCACUCUUACAGUGGAACUCUAGCUUUAGACUUGAUCCUUUGCUACUCACACUUGGUUCUUAAUUGGUUACUACACCCAUAUUUAUAGGUGAAGGUUUGGUAUUCUACUUGUUUCUAGUGUAUUCUUCAAACAUCUAGCAUAGAUAAUUCUAGACUAGCCACAACAUUGUAGCUUCUAGAUAUUUCCAUUUGCAACCAAGGAAGCUAGUACUCUCUAGCUUCUUCCAUCAACUAAAUAACAUGCUAGAAUUGUCCAGCAUGCUCCAACCACCUCACUUGCUUACUAGAAUAAUCUAGAACAUUGAUCAUGGGCUGGACCAUAUACCAACAAUCUCCCCCUCCAGUCCAUGAGGGAGGAAUUCCGAUCAUGACUCCAAGUUACCUGGAGUCCAUCCCAGCAGCCUUAAUGCAGAAUUCCAACUUUUAUUUUGUGACUACCUUUGUCAACAUGUUCGAAGAAUUAUUAUCGGUAUGAAUCUUCUUCAGCUGUAGCAACUUGUUCUCGAUAGCAUCUCUAAUCCAGUGAUAACGAAUAUCAAUGUGCUUAGUGCGUGAAUGAUAUGUAGUGUUCUUGCUCAAAUCCAGAGCACUCUGACUAUCACAAUAAACGCCAUAAUCACUUUGCUUCAAACCUAACUCUUGGAGAAACCGCUUCAGCCAUAAUAACUCCUUGCAUGCUUCUGUAGCGGCUAUGUAUUCAGCCUCGGUUGUGGACAAAGCAACACACUUUUGCAACUUUGAUUGCCAAGACACGGCUCCCCCUACAAAAGUAAACAAGUACCCAGACAUAGAUUUUCUACCAUCCAGGUCACCUCCCAUGUCAGCAUCUGUAAACCCUUCCAAGAUUGGUUUGGAACCACCAAAGCACAAGCACAUCUUAGAAGUCCCCUUCAAAUAUCUGAGAAUCCACUUAACAGCUUUCCAAUGGUCUUUCCCUGGAUUAGAGAGAAACAUGCUCACCACACCUACUGCAUAAGCAAUAUCUGGCCGUGUGCACACCAUUGCAUACAUGAUACUUCCUACCGCUGAAGAGUAGGGAACAACUGCCAUUUUCUCAUUUUCUUCAUAUGUUUUUUGACACGACUCUUUGCUCAACUUGAUAUGAUUGGCUAAAAGUGAGCUUACCGGUUUGGCUGCUUUCAUGUUGAACCUUUCAAGCACCCGUUCAACAUACUUUUCUUGUGACAGUCACAACUUCUUGGAUUUUCUGUCACGAAUUAUCUCCAUGCCCAAAAUCUGCUUGGCUGGCCCUAAGUCCUUCAUGUCAAAUGACUUAGAUAACUCUUCUUUUAGCUUUUUAAUCAUAGAAGCAUCUUAACCGACAAUCAACAUGUCAUCAACAUAAAGCAAUAAAAUGAUGAAUUUACCUCCAGAAAAUUGUUUGAUAUAGACACAAGAGUCAGCAUGAGUUCUCUUAUACCCAUUACUCACCAUGAAUGAGUUGAACUUCUUAUUCUACUGUCUCAGAGCCUGCUUAAGACCAUAUAAGCUUUUCUUGAGCUUGCACACCAAAGUUUCUUUACCUUUGACUUCAAAGCCUUUGGGUUGCUCCAUAUAUAUCUCCUCUUCUAAGUUGCCGUGGAGAAAUGCAGUUUUAACGUCUAACUGCUUGAGCUUAAGAUCCAUGCUUGCUGCCAUACCAAGGAUAACUCGAAUGGAAGUCAUCUUCACCAUCGGUGAGAAAAUCUCAUCAAAGUCAACUCAUUUCUUUUGACCAAAACCUUUGACAACCAAACGAGCCUUGUACCUUGUCAUUUUGUUGUCUCUUUUUAAUUUGAACACCCACUUGUUUUUCAAUGUUUUUCUGCCCUUUGGAAGCUCCACCAGCUUAUAGGUAUCAUUCUUUAAUAAGGAAUCCAUCUCUGACUCCAUUGGCUUCAUCCAUUUAUCACUGUGUUUAUGAGCUCUGGCCUUCUCAUAAGUUUCGGGCUCUCUAUAAUUAGUCAACAUGAUAUACUCUGAUUAAGAAUACUUGGUAGAUGAUAUUCGACUUCUGCUAGAUUCUGACCUGAUCUUCAUUCUCUUGCAGAGCUGAAAGCUCCCCCUAAUUGGGUUCUCCUUGAAUUUGCUCUUCUUGACUAGGUUCCCCUUGAUCAGCAAUUUCAUAGUUUGGCACAUCUUGAUCAGGCUUCCCAUGAUCAACAUUAUCUGGUUCUGCAGGCACUUCAUUGGCAGCUGCUUCAAGGAUGUCAUCGUGACUUUCUUCAUAUGAAGCUAAUGGAUCAACUCCUCUGACUGCGCCAUCUGGUUGUGCCUCUUUAUCCGAAUCCCCAAUUGUUUGAUCUUCAUAAAAGACCACGUCUUUACUUCGGAUAAACUUCUUCUGGUAUGGGUCCCAUAAUCUGUAACCAAAAUCUUCACCGCCAUAACCAAGAAAGAUUCACGGUGUAGCUUUGUAGUCUAACUUCGAUCUCUGCUCUUUGGGCACAUGCACAAAAGCUUUGCAACCAAACACCUUUAGAUGAGAGUAAGACACAUCAUUACCAGUCCAUACUCUCUCUGGAACAUCAAGACCUAAUGGUACUGAUGGAGAUCGGUUGAUCAAAUAGCAGGCUAUUUUUACAGCUUCACCCCAGAAUUGCUUAGAUAACUUUGCAGUCCUCAGCAUACACCUGACUUUCUCCAUGAUGGUUCGGUUCAUUCUUUCAGCAACACUAUUAUGUUGUGGAGUUCCAGGAACUGUCUUCUCAUGACGUAUGCCAUGUUCACACAAUACUCUCUAAACUGGUGAGAUGUGUACUCACCGCCGUUGUCGCUACGAAGGCACUUGAGAGGUUUCCCAAUUUCCCUCUCCACCAUGUCAUGGAACUUUUGGAAUGUCUGAAACACCUGGUCUUUGGAUUUUAACAAAUACACCCAAACCUUUCGUGAAGCAUCAUCAAUAUAAGUAACAAAAUAUUUAUUUAUUCCAAGUGACUCGACUUCCAUGGGACCACACACAUCUAAAUAAACAAGAUCUAACAAAUUUCCUUUCUUUGUAGAUGGAACAUAAAAACUAAUUCUUCUUUGUUUUCCGAAUAAACAAUGCUCACAAGAGUUUAACGACGUACUUUUGGCAAAGGGAAUGUGAGACUUCUUUGUCAAAACUUGUAGGCCUUUCUCGCUCAUGUGGCCUAGCCUCUUAUGCUACAAGUCUAGAGAUGAGUCAUCCACAUCAUUCAACUCACCUUUCAAAACCUUGGCAUUUGACCGAUACAACGUAUAACAAAGUCGUGCUCUUGCUACCACCAUUAAGCCUUUGGUAAGCUUCAAUUUCCUUCGCCAAUAUGGGGAUAAUAUCGUUGUCGAUCAAGGGUACCGAUGGAUAUCAGAUUGAGACAUAUAUCAGGAAUAUGUCUCACAUCUUUCAACAUCAACUGGCAGCUGAGAUUAGUUCUUAGGCAGAUAUCACCAAUUCUAAAAAUUUUGGAAUAGCUUUCAUUUCUCAUCUUCACUAUGCCAAAGUCACCUUCUUUGUAUGUACUAAAGAACUCCCGUUUGGACGUAGUAUGGAAGGAAGCUCCAUUGUCAAAGAUCCAUUCAAUGUCUCUGUCAGAGUUGCCCAUAUGCAGACAUUCACCAACAGACAAUAUUUCUGGUACAUCACCACAUAUGACAGCGGUGGUAUUGCCAAUAUCAUCUUUCUUUUGAUUGUUUCAUUCCCUUUGCUUUCUCUUCCAAACUCGACAAUUUUUUCUUCAUAUAGCCUUCUUUGCCACAAUGAUGGCAUGCACCCCUGAACCUUGACUUGGAUCGGCUAGGACUCCUGCCAUGACCUCUAGGCCCUCUACUCUUGCUUCUUCCGUGGUUUUCUAUAACAAAUACUUGGUUGCUAUCUGUGCCUGAAGUCUUUCUCCUUGUUUCUUCGUUGAGCAAGCUAUUUUUAACAUUAUUAAGAGUAAGAACACCAUUAGAAGCAGAAGUACUUAUACUCACUACAAAGGUCUCCCAACUGUCUGGCAAUGAUCCAAGUAGCAAUAGCGCUUGCAGCUCAUCCUCAAUCGUCAUUUUCAUAGUAGCCAACUGGUUGAUGAUAUUUUGGAAAUUGUUCAAGUGUUCUGCUACAUUUAAACCAUCCUUGUACUUCACAUUGAUGAGCUCUUUGAUCAAGAAGGCUUUCUUGGCUGGGGUCUUCUUCUCGAACAAGGACUCAAGCUUCAUCCAAAACUCACGGGCAUUGGUUUCAUUAGACACAUGGUGAAAAACACUAUCGUCCACCCAUUGUCUAAUUGUGCCAAUAGCCUUGCGAUUCAUUUUCUUCCACUCAACAUCGGACAUGCUCUCGGGCUUAGCGGCAUCUCCUUCAAUUGGCUCAUGCAGAUCCUUGCAACAGAGAAUGUCGUUCAUCCUUGUCUUCCAUGUUACCCAAUUGAAGUUGGUGAGUUCGAUCAUAGUGCCACUUCCUUCCAUCUUGUAGUACGAGCCAACCGGCUCUGAUACCACUUGUUAGGAAUGUCGGUACUACAAGAUAGAGAAUGCACAAGGUAAAGUAGAAAAUGGACACCAAGAAUUUUAUGUGGUUCGGCAAUUUAUGCCUACGUCCACAAAACAAGGAUCAAUCUUCACUAUAUGAAAAAGAUGAGUACAACAAGAGUAGUCUUACCAAGCCAAAGACAAGGCUUGAUGGAUACAAGAAAGUAUGACACACACUUUCUAUCACUCUAAACUUUACUCACAAUGUGUAGUGGAACACUCUCACUCUCACUUUUGGAGUGGAACUCUAGCUUUGGACUUGAUCCUUUGCUACUCACACUUGGUUCUUAAUUGGUUACUACACCCAUAUUUAUAGGUGAAUGUUUGGCAUUCUACUUGUUUCUAGUGUAUUCUUCAAACCUCUAGCAUAUAUAAUUCUAGACUAGCCACAACAUUGUAGCUUCUAGAUCUUUCAAUUUGCAACCAAGGAAGCUAGUACUCUCUAGCUUCUUCCAUCAACUUAAUAACAUACUAGAAUUGUCUAGCAUGCUCCAACCACCUUACUUGCUUACUAGAAUAAUCUAGAACAUUGAUCAUGGGCUGGACCAUAUACCAACAAUAAGUGUAUUUUUCUUUCUAAUUAUAGAAGGUUUGAAGUGUAAAAUGAAAAUUUUGGAAUGCCAAUAACAAUUCUCAUUUCAAACUAACCAUGUUUAAUGAUUAAACGUAAUGACAUAUGUGUACAUAGAGAUGCAUGGAUGAAUAGGGAAGAGAGGAAGAGAAGAAAAGGAAAAGAAAAAAAAAUCAAUAAAUCCAUGUGGUUAAUUUGUGUAAGAUUGUCGCCAAUUGACAAACAAAAAGAGAUUAGUUUGUGAGUGGAGAGGUUUAAGUGAAAAGUAAAGGGAGAUUAAUAUGAACUAUACAUAGGGAGGACACCGGUUUAGAGGUUCUUAAUUGUUUCUAUUUUAGCUCCAUGUAAUUUCAAGCUCUUGAUAAUUUUUUUCCCUUAUAACGAAGACUAGUGGCUUGACAGUCCACUCUUGCGGGAGCAAAAAGACUCACAAAAACAUUUCAAUCUUUCAUACCAUCAUCGUGUGAUACACAAACGCUAAGAAUCGAACUCAUGACGUGUCGUGUGAAAUACGGACAUGAAAUUCAUCUCCAACCACAAAAUCACUCCGUGAUGGUUCUCUAGUAUUGAUAUUGCAAAUGUCGUAUUUCUGCCAUUGAAGUUCAAGAAAUUGUGCGGUAACAAGUGACUGAAUUACAGUACCACAUAAUACAUAAACGUGGAAGUAAAAAUGUAUUUAGAGGCCCAUCUAAGUCGGACCAAACUAUCCAGAAAUCGUAGCCCAAUUCCAAAGGAGUUCGACAGGAUUGGAUUUCUAUGCUGGAUGGCGAAUCAAUAACUUCACUGGUUUGUAGACAGUUACGUUAGCACAUGACCAAAAUUUGCACCAUAUUUAUUAGACUUAUAAUAUUUAGAUCUAACGGAAGAUAUGAUACAGAACCGAACGUAAUGGUAUUCUAGGAUUCAUAUAGCCGACCCCACUUAGUAAGGAAAUGCUUUGUUGUUGUUGUAUAUAGAAGCUGCAGCAUGAGAGUGGCAAUUCAAACAUAGAACCUAGGUGCACUAUAAAUACUCUUAACUACUUGAGCUAUAAUUACCUUAAGUUCAUUUAUCAUGAAUAGUGAGUUCGAUACCAAAUUGUUGUUAUAGCAAAGCAGAGCAUAGCAUAGCAAGGAAAUAAAUUUUAAUCAAUUGAAAACCCCAAAAUUAGAUUAUUUGGAAUUUUGGAGAAGAAAUGUAUAAGCAUUGUAUGUAUUGAUCUGACAUUUGUAAAGUAAGUAAUACAAUUACUUUUGAUAUAAAGGUUGUAUGUCUCAACAAAUCCCACCCACAAACAAAAUGAACCGAAAUUGCCCCUCUUCUUUUCCAACUAAUGUAAUUAUUCCUCACUUAAUAUACACUAAUAUUAUAUAAUUCAAAAGAAAUUAUUUGCAGAAACUACACAGCAUGAUUACAUAGGACUAGGAGCAGAUGCAGGUUCAAAUGCCUCUGAAGGGGGAUAUGCCGCAUGCAACCCUGAUGGUAAUUGGGAGCCGUGAGGACUAGGGGCGGCCUCGCCAGAGCUCAGAAGCGCGAUCAUGGAACGGUGAGGAUUGGAACGCUGCUUGUCGCAGAGAUCGGGCAAGAAUACACCUGCAUUUUUCAAAACAUAUAAUUAAGUUCUAUAUUAGAUUAUGUUACAUUGUACAGUUCUUACAUACAAGAAGAAUAAGAUGUCUAAUAUACAAUCGUAGUAAACUUGGUCACGUGAUCAACAUGUGAUACAAUGAAAUUAUAAAAAAAAUUUGCAUAUACCAGUUGUAUGUAAGAAUAUUUCGUUUAAUCACAUGCCUCCAUUUUAUUAAAGUGUACCAUAGUAAAAGGGUUGAUUAAAUUAGAAGGAAAUCUAUCACAAGGAAGGUAUCACAAUGCCACCAACAUGACAGAAAAAGAAAACGAAAGCAGACCAAAGUGAAGCAUAUUCCUAGGCAACAUAAAAUUGUUAAAAUAGUUAAGCAUAUCAAACCGAUUAAUGUAAUAGUGUAACUCAUACACCGAUAAAUUAAAGAAUUCUCAAUCUAUCUCAUUCUUCUUUUGAUUUAAUAUUAGUCCUAAAAAGAAGAGAAGGAAUGUUUUAGGCGUGACAAAACAAUCAUUCUUAACCACUUGGAAGUUUGGAACCACUAAAUAAUAUAAUUAUCCGAAAGAAAAAAAAAAGAAGAAUUUAAUUAAUGAUUUGUGAAAAUAUUCUUACCCUCUCCAGCUGCCAAGUUGAAGUAAAGGUCAGCAAUGUUGGGGCACUUUUGGUAACAAGGAGCAGAGCAGAGCUUGGCCAUGAACUGAGGCUCAAGGAGGGCAUCAGACGAAAUCCCAACAGACUUCCUAUCAAUCCCACAAGCCUGCACGCAUUGAUCUGUCUCUAUGUAAUCAGCCACUCCCUCCACCACAACUUCUGAUGUCCUGCACUGAUACUCUAUGCUUCCAUCUUUCUUGGACAUGGUCUCUAACAAGCACCUUUUCCCUGCCGACGACACCGAAAAUGCACAAACAUCGUUCGGCAAAUCCUCGCAUAUAAACUCACCUGAAAAAAAAUGAUCAAAACAAGUUUAAUAACUGCAAUCCAUUUAAUUAAUUAGUUAAAGAACAUUGUAUAUAACCAUAGCCGAUCGAAGACACAUUGUCAUGACCAACUCACCUAGAACUGCAUGGAUGGAUAGGAAGGAGAGGAAGAGAGCCAAAAACUUGGUGGAAACCGCCAUGUGUGGAGGAUCUGAGAACUAAUGUGGGGUUUUGUUGGACGAAAAAAAACUCAGAAGAGAGAUUUAUUUGUGAGAUUAGAGUGAAGGGAGAAGGGUGGAUUUAUAAGGAGGAGGAGGUUAUGAACUGUGAAACAACAAAUGGCUACGACUAGCUAUAUAUAGAGAUGGAAACGUUGAAAUAUAAGGCGGCGUCUCUACAUUCAUGGACGCGUUACCUUCCUGCAGGUUGGUGAAACUGUAUGUCUACGAUCCUCUUCGCAUUUUAUGUUUGGAGCCCAAUUUGUCAUUUGUUCUAUUUUCUAUUUUUUCUUAUUUGUUUUUGGUUAUUAUUAUUUAUUUUUUUAGUUUUGAUUUUGUUAUUGUUUAUUGACUUGUUUUAUUUGAUAAUGCAAAGACGUGUGGAAAGCCUGCAAUUUGAAAUUUCUUCUCUCUCUCCAUAUGUGGUGUUAGGUUUGUUGACAUUUAAUUUGUAUAGAUGCAUGACCGACGUUGUACAUAUUGAACUUUCUAUGUGGCUUCUUGGUUUAUAUUCCUUUUCCAUUCAACAAGUUGAAUAUUAAUAUAUGGCUUUUUAGCCAAAAUAAUUAUGAGAAUGACAGUAAUUUCUUAUUUUGAUUUAUAAAAUUUAAAUUGAUAGAAUUGGUGUCUGAGUUUGUCCAUCAUCAAUUAUUUUGAUCUUUUCAUGAAAAAUCUCCAUUAAAUAAGAAUACAAUAACAAAAAUACCAUCAAUUUUGUCAAAUCAUUUUAGCCUAUUGUUAGGGUAUUUUUAUCAUUUUGAUCUUUAUUUAACGGAGAUUUUCAUAAAACAACCAAAGUGUUGAUGUAGACAAACUCAGGAGCCACUCCUAUUAAUUUCAAAUCUCAGGGACCAAAAAAAUGAGUUAAUUAUGUUAAUCUCAGAGACUAUUUUGGCUAAAAUGCUUUUAUAUAUAUUAAUGAAGUACUUUAACUAAUAUAUGUUCUUGUAACUUAUUGCCUUUGUGAUACAACUAAAAGCCAGCAAGGUUAGAGUUCGAUAUGAUUACCAUAAAGACCUUAAUUAACAAAUUUCGUCAAGGUAAACAAGAAAUUAGAAAAAUAUAUUUCUACUACUAUUUAUUUGUCUUGUUUAGCUAAACUAGACAAACCAUUAAGCAAAUAUUGCAAAGUCAAGAAGGUUUGUUGGACCUAAAUAACAUGACAAAUGCAAUGAAUUUGACUUUUCGACACUUGUAAUAAAUUAACAAAAUAGAAAUAUCAUGUACCCAUGCUGUGCGUUUCCAAUAUUUUUGCUUUACAACUUAUAAAUUCCAUUUGAUUUGGACUAGGUCAUAUUAACGUCGCGAACAAGCCAUCUCGAACCAUGAAUAUGUUGAUGGCUAAACCGAAAGUCGUCAUCUUGGCGGUGAAGUUAAUUUCCUUUGUGUACAUUAAACGACAGCUAGGGUUCCACGCGUGAACUUCUGAAUGGUUCACUCGGCUUCAAUGGAAAGUCUAGAUCUUUAUGAAUGAAUGUCGUCUUGUUUUUUCUCGGUAAUUUUCAUGUGAAUGCCAUGUCGUGUCGCUGUUUAGAGAAAUAACUAAUCGAAACAAGCCAAUAAAUUAGGUUCCGAUGAUUUCCAGAACACCAGAUCAUUGCUGCGAAUUUACUCACACGGGUCAAAGAUUAUACUUUUUGAGAUGUAAGGUAUUGAGUGACUUGAGUCUAUUGACCCAAAAAGAAGUAUGAAUGAAGUAUUAUAACCUCAUGCUGCAUGCCUUGAGCAUCACCACCCGGUCAAGUACCGUCGGACGAGUGUAAUUUAUUCUCUUUACUCAACAGAUUUCAAAACUUAAACCUGUCUAUGACAACUAAUAUAGUAGUGAUGCUCACGAUCGGAUAAGGAAUGCAAGCAAAAGUGUUCCCCAAAAGUACUCCCUAAGUUUAUAAUUACUAGUAAAAAAAUAUGGCUAUUCACACUAAUUCCAAAAGUGUCUUUUAGGUUAUUCACACUCUAUUUUCAGUGUCAAAGCUUAAAAUGUUAAUAACUUAAAAAAUAAAAUUUUCCACCACUUUCAUAAAAAUACGUGGUGUACCAUCUAUAUUCCGGUCACAAGAAAAAAUUUCUCCACCGUGCAUCUCCUAAUGCAUAGUCACUGUCCUCCGCCUAGGUUUCUAUUGAUCCUUACCGCACUACAUGUGGUUUUGGUGGCUCUCUUCCAAAGGUAAUUUGGAUUGCAGAUCGCUGCAUCUGUUUUUCCGACAUGCAUCACAUCAUCUUUUUCCACUGAGCUAUAAUCCAUAUGGACACCAAUACGCCAUCUACUGGUGCACAAAUGCACAGAUACAUAUCCGUGGCUAAAUAACAGUGUGUGAUGCCCUUAAGAGGGUAAAGAAAAGAAUCUCCACCUUGUCAUUGAUUGUACUGCUCCCUUUUUUUUUUCUCUUUUAAUUAAUAUUGUCUGCAAUGUCCAAAAGGUGGAAUUGAAGGAAAGAAUAUCGAUGUAUGGAAAAUAAAAAGGAGAAGAAGGGUAGUAUAUCACAUCAAGGAAAGGAUUUGUCAUAGUUAAAUGGAAUUAGGGAGAGAGAAUUAUACAAUCAAUAUAUAUGCAUGAUAGAGGUCUUCCAUCUGCAAAGUUGUUCAGUUCUAAUUUUUUAAAUCAUAGAUAAAAAAGAAUUGCCAAGUUAUUGCUUAAGUUGUCCUCCGUUUGCUACUUCAUAUUAUUAAAGCAAAAUUUGUGUAUUUAUUUUUUGACAUUAAAGUUCCAAAUAAAUUUUCAGAAAUUAAAUAUCAUUUGAGGUUUCAAGUUCCCGCCAAAUCAUGCCAAAAAUUGAUAGCAAAUCCCUUUCGCCUUUUAUUUUUCUCUGUCUUUCUUUAGCUGAAUAGUACCAAACAAAUUUUGUUUUCUGUUUAUACAAGAUGAGUCACGUUCUCUUGAUCACUUGAUGAAUAAGAAGUCGUGGUCACUCACAUUUAGAUUUGAUAUCAAAUGUUGAGAUUAACAUAUCAAUAGCACAUCUACUUAUUCUGCACUUUUAUUGUUAAAUCUAAGGAUGAGUGAUCAAGCAUUCUUUGGUCACUAAGAGAACAGAAUACGAGAUUAUGAGAACCUAUAACCUUCAUUUCCAAGAACCAACAAAGAUAUUCACCAUCUUUUCCCAUAACACUUCGUCAUUGCCAAUAAUAAGAUCAUGUAAAUCUAGCCUAGAGGUCUUCCCUUCUGCCAAAUCUGGGUCACUUGUGCGGUGAAACCAAGCUUUAUGCAAAUUGCUAAGAGCUCCAAAGUAAAACUUGCCGCUACACCUUGUUAUAAAUUUAAGUUAAUCCAAAUACUUGGGGAUCAAGGUUCCUGAGCCUAGGUUUUAAAGCCCACAAUCAUUAGCAAUUAGGCUUAAUGGAGUUGAUUAACGACCUAAACCAAACAUCAAAUCCAACCCAAAUUGAAUUCCCACUUGUUAUUUGUUAUCUCCCUCCCCCUAUUGGCCUCCUCCAAGAAACCAUGAUCGCAAUACCAAACAUUACAAAAGCAAGAUAAGUGGGACCCAAAAUAAAAUAAGAAAAAUAUCAGAAAUUGUUGCCAACCUCACAAAUCCCACACACACAAUCCAACUAAAAAAAAACAAAAAAACCAGAAAAUCAGACACUGAAAAGAAAAAUCAGAGCAAAAAUCAGAAACACCAAAUCAUGGUUGCAGCAACGUUAACUUCACCGUCGUCCCAACUCCUAUGCUCAAGCUCCCGGUCUCUCUGUAACACCUCUUCUCUCCAACAAUGUGUGUUGGGGUCCAAAACAGUCGUCUCGUGCCCUAACUUAACUUACAACAAGAGGAGGCAUGCGGCUGACGGGGUUAGGUGCAUGGCCGUAGCGGCGGAGACAACAGAGCCGAAGAAAAAGAGCGGGUACGAGAUUCAGACGCUGACGAGCUGGCUGCUGAUGCAAGAGCAGGCCGGGGUGAUCGAUGCCGAGCUGACCAUCGUGCUCUCUAGCAUUUCGGUGGCGUGCAAGCAGAUUGCUUCUUUGGUGCAGAGGGCUAGCAUUUCCAACUUGACUGGGAUUCAGGGUGCGGUUAAUAUCCAAGGAGAGGACCAGAAGAAACUUGAUGUUGUCUCCAACGAGGUUUGUGCUUCUUCUAAGUCUUAACUGAAAUACAGACGUGAGUUCAGUCAAUUGGCUAAGACAAUAUGUUUGUCAUUUAACACUCAAAUUCUAAUUCCCUCUCAUUGAGUUCAAAUUACUAAUCAAUUUGGUGAUGGUUUUGGUAUUUAUCUGAGAAAAAAAAAGGACAAAAUUAAACAAAAAUGUUCCUUAACAAAGAGAAAAAAUAGGCAGAGUUUUAGUAAAAUCUAAUAAAGGCACA
rnacentral:lncRNA from 1 species